GGUUUGAGUAAAAAGAGUGACGAAUGGAGAACUAGGGUGCACUAAAGAGGACGGAGCCCCCCGAAAUGGCGGAGGAGAGACUUUGAAGCCCUAAUGUCCUGUGCGGCAACGCAGCGGGGGGGCCAGGGGAGCGAAACAUCCCAGUACCGGGCCCCCCACCCCCCUCCCCACCCCAUAGUGGGUGUUUCGGGGGGGGGCACAGUAAAAAUCAAACGAGAUUCCGCAAGUGGCGGCGAGCGAAAGCGGACGGGCCCUUUCCCGUAGGACCCCCCGGCCCGGCCGGGGGGCGGGGGUCGCCCACCCAGGGGCGGGCGAGUAGUGAUGGGAAGAUGGGUGGCCACACAUCCAAGGCUUAAUAACUAGUGUCACACCGAAAGAGAGGAGUACUGUGAAGGAAAGUUGAAAGAGACUUGAAAAGACCUUGAAAUGAGUCACUUAAAGCAGUUGUAACACAACGUACCUUUUGUAUAAUGGGUCCACGAGAUAAAAUUUGGCAAACUUAAAGUGCAAUCUCGCAGCCACCCCGCAGGGGAUGGCUGGGGGGAUUGUUCUUGGCCCCUAAGGUGUAGUGAAAGCAAGGGGGGGGGAUACCCCCACCCCUCAGUCAAAUUUCCCGAAACCAAGUGAUCUAGCCAUGGGCAGUUUUUAGGAACGAACCGGUGGUUGUUGCAAAAACCUCGGACGACCUGUGGUUAGGGGCGAAACGCCAAUCGAACUUGGAGAUAGCUGGUUUUCUGCGAAAACUAUUGAAGUAGUGCGUCCACAAUUCAAGGAACCUUCACCCGAAUGGGUGGCGGUUGCUAGUUGGAGAAGUCGAAUCAAGAUUUGCAUUCUCCGAUGAGAAUGGCUUGGAAUGCGGUAAAGCCCGACCCCCCGAAGCCGGGGGAUUAACUAUGAAGAAAAAAAGCCAGAGUGGGACAGACAGACUGUGGGCGAUAAGGUCGACGGUCAAAAGGGGAGAAGCCCUAACCAGAAGUUAAAGUCAUUAAUAAAAUUUAGUGUAAAAGAGAUAUUGGGUUUAGACAAUGGAGAAGUAGGCUUGGAGCCAGCCACCUUUGAGAGAUGACGUAGCAGUUCACUCAAGAAAUUCUUUUAUCUCUAAAAUUAUGGUGGCUAAAGUUGAACUGAAACUCUGGGGGCGAAAUAACAAGGUGGCGGUUGCGAGGCCUUCUUCGAAGACUUGAACCCCCGCCCUUCGUUAUGUUUGCCCGGUAGCAGAACGUACUGUUAAUUGUUCAGUGAGAGCCCCACACGGCAUCAGAAGUGAUAAUGUGGACAUGAGUAAAAAAUCAUAGGAUCACUCCCCCCCUGGUUUCCCAUAUUAGUUAUGGGGUUAAACAGCCCCUAAAAUUGCAGCCCCAAAGGUUGCGUUAAUGGGGGCCAUGAGUAAUAGACGCACAAAGUGCCAGGAAAGAAUUAUUCAAGGGCAUCGGUAAAUCGAAGGUGAUAACCAUCUUUCGGCGCCGCACUGUACUAAACUAACUAAAGUGGGGGAUAGUGAGGGGAUAAAUUUCCUUAAGGAACUCGGCAAAAUCCCAAUGGCCCACCAGGGCAUAUAUUGGAACACGGGCCUCGACUGUUUACCAAAAACAUAGCCCUCGGCCAAUAUGAAAAUAGAAGUAUGGAGGGUGAGGCCUGCCCAAUGGUUGUAUCUAAAAGCGGUUGAUAAAAGUCGACCGUGUAAGGACAAUUGAAUGGCCGCGGUAACACUGACCGUGAUAAUGUAGCGUAAUCAAUAGCCAAUUAAUUGUUGGCCAGUAUGAAUGGCGCCACGAAGGCCCCACUGUCUUAAGGAAAUUCCCAGUGAAAUUGAAUUCGUAGUGAAGAUGCUACGUCCAAUUUGUUAGACGAAAAGACCCCGUUGAGCUUUACUGGGGCACUUACACGGCCCCGGCCUUCAAAACUGGGUUGAUAAGCCAAGGCUUACCAUACCUAGGGACCGGCCGAAUUUAAAUGGGCGGCUUAGACUAUGUGGCAGCCCCCCCCGUCGGGGCAGAUGAAACCCCACUCCCCCAUGUCAAAGGGGCUAACCCCCCCCCUUGGGGGGGACAGUGUAAGUAGGACAGUUUGGUUGGGGCGACCGCCUUUUAGAGAGUAACGAAGGUGCGCUUAAGGUGCGUAAUUAAUGACUGAAGCCUGACUGCGAGGGGGACACCCCGAGCAGACACCCCCAAGCCCGCCCUCGCCUUCGUACCAACGGAGGGAGGGCGGCGGUGGGGUGGGCCAUAGUGACCCGUUAAUUUAGAGUGGAAUAGUUAACGAUCAACGAAUAAAAGUUACCACGGGGAUAACAGCGUAAUAUCGUUAGAGAGUUCACAUCGACGACGAUGUUUGCGACCUCGAUGUUGAAUUGCGGCAUCCUGGGGUGCAGCCGCUCCCAAGGGUUGGUCUGUUCGUCCAUUAAAGCCGUACAUGAUUUGAGUUAAAAGCGUGGUAACACAGCUUGGUUUCUAUCUACAAAUUGAAGAAACAUCGAUAUAACUAUCUUCUAGUACGAAAGGACCGAAGGAUUAGUGAUCCUCUUAUUUUUUAUAAGUUACGAUCAACCCAUUGACCUCAACCCCGAGAAGGCUUUGCCUUCUGGGCGAGGGGUCUCUCAGCUAAUCACUGACCGCUUCUAAAGUGGGAAAGUCAUAUCGAAAUGUUUGGGCCCAUUAUAGGGGGGCUAAAAACCUCACCAUCACGAGCCCGCUAUAGCGGCCUCCUAAGGAGGGGAUGGUGGCCAGCCCUCGGGCUGGGAUUA
rnacentral:rRNA from 1 species